ensembl:lncRNA
CAAGCCCUUGCCACGCUCCCAGACUACUGCCUCACCAGGAUGGAGCUCUUAUGCAUUAUACAUGUUAAACAUCUCCUAUUCAGUGCUAACUUUGACUUUGUGCCCUGGGCCAGUCGACUUUUUGGCAAAAUACUGCAUCUUCAGCCAGGAGAAGUUGGCGAAGUACAAAAGGGCUUUUGAAGCGGAGGUUCUGAGUUAUGCUGUCGUCUACCUGGGAGUGCUUAAGUUUCUUCCUCUGCAAGAUGAUGUGGCCAAGCCCAUUAGAUUUGGUGGAGACCCUGAAGAUUUUGUUGAAGGGGCAGAAGAGGACACUUUUUGAAGAUGGAGGAAGCUUUCUUAGGCUAUAGGAAGAGAAGGAGCCUUAGACAGAGAUGUCAGAGGAUGCACAAAAGACCUUUCUACUUGUCUACUAUGAGACACAGUUGAGAUGACAAAAAAAAGUAAAGGAAUAGGUAAAAGUAUAGUUUGUGAAUGACUUUGAAGUAAAAACAGUUGGUUUUGGUAAAAGAAGCUGAAAAACUUAUCAAUUUUCACUUAUACAAAUCUAUUUUCUCCAUCUGUGAGUCUUCUCCAGAUAAAGACUCUUAGGCUCUAUAGUGCCUAAAUAUAACUGACACAUUAUCUCAUUGUGAAACUUAAUGAACAUUUGAGUCUGGACAUAAAGACCGGUGAGGUCAGGGUAUGCGUUAGCCCUGUAUAACAUCAAGUUAAAGACUGUGAUGGCAACUUCCUCUUUUCUUUCAGCAUUUCUUAAUAGUCACAUGAUUUUUUUAUUGUCAGUCAUAUUUCUAAUUCAGCUUUGUUGUGUUACGUAUCCAGAAAUAACAAAUUGUUGAAGAAAAUGAUGUGGAGCCAAAAAAAAUAUAUAUAUAUGCUAAACUACUGUGCUUCUUUGCUUAGUGCAGGCAAAGAUUAAGAGUUCCCAAGGCUUUCCCUCAGUUUGAAAAUGGAAGCAGAGAUUAACCAUACCUUGUCAAAGCUGCGCUUCCAAGACACUGGAGUUCUGCUCAUAGAUGAGUGGCUUAUUUUCUGAAAACUUAAUACUGUGAGUAUCUUUCUAGGGUGAUACUGUUGAAGAUGGGUACUCGAACUGCUGGCAAGUUUUGAUGGCCUUGAAAGAUGUUGCUUCAGAAGCACUGAUUUAUGCAGGAAGUAAACCUAACAGAUCUCUCCCUUCAAAAAUGUGAGAGAGUGGCAAAUAUUUGCCGUAUCAUACCAUCAUAAUUUAUUUGUAGUAAUUGGUUGGUCAAAGCCCCCCUUAAAUAAAGAAAGUGCCCUGACUAGCAGCAGCAUUGGCACAUGUGGGAGGUAUUUAUUUCAUAG